UUCUGCUCUCCUCCACGUCAUGAAGUCUCUCCCCAAGGACCCCAACGAGCUCCAAGACACUAAAUCAACCAGACACUUGUUUGGGGAGGAGUUGUUGCUUGGAGCUGCGCAGCUUGGGCCAAGCAUUUGCGUCUGGGAGUGCAUCUGUGAUUAGUUCUCAUCAACCCAAUGUGAGCAGAAGAGAUGUGUCUACUUCUAGGCCUGGCUCAUCAAAAAACCUCCCACGGACAAACCUUCGCGUUCUUUCCCUUGACGGAGAAGAGCACAGAGAGCUUGGAAGCCACGUGUUGAAGAUGGUGGAGCCACAAGACGGAAGGAUGCUGGGCUCCCCUAAUUGUGCUUGGCGGAACCCUCCGUCACUCAUUAGGGGUGCCAUGCUAGACUUGCUGUGAAUGAGAAAUAAACUUCUAUUGUAUUGGAGC
rnacentral:lncRNA from 1 species